UUUUUUUUUUUUUGGGUAAAUGUCACUGAGGUAUUACAUACAUAUAAGAAAAGUUCAUAAAGCACAGGUCCCAGGUUUCAUGAAUUUUCACAAACUGAACACAUCCAGGUCAUCAGCAUCCAGGUCCAGAAACAGAACACUAGCAGGACCCCUUCAAAGGUGGCCUUUAAAAAAUUCCAACCAAGGUGACUCUGUUCACUAAGCCAGUGUUCCCCAGGCUGUGACCAGCCUAAGAGGCACCUUUUCCAAGUCUGCACAAGAAUCUUCUAUGCGCUCGUGGUGUCUGCAGACAGGUGGGCACGCCCCUCGAGAACGUACCACCCACAGAGAGGGACAGGUAGGGACUGAGGUGACAACCACAGGAUGCAGGAUGGGGCAAGUGACACUGCAGAGAGGGAGGCCCUCCUAGGUCCACACCCCUCCUCUCUCCCUGACUCAGUCCCAUCUCCUCCCCACAUUAAUAUCACAUCCUCUCACUAUCGGAGCUGGGAGGGGACACCAGGAUGAGACGCUCACUGUCCAUGGGACAGGAAGAAGCAACCAGGGUCACUGUCUUGCGUUUGAAUGUUGCCAUUUGGCUGCUAGGCGAAUAGUGGAAGUGAGUACGUUUUAGUGCUUCAUGGAAAAGAUCACUAUCGAGGCAUCUGAGGCUUCCUCACCUGACUUCUCCAGAGCCUGAGGAAAAGAGCCUGAUCAGGCCCUCCCCUGGCACGUGUUAAUUCUUUUCAAAGCGGCACACAACUUCUGCCCAUCACCAGACUCACAUGCCACAAGGACUGGACCCCAGAGCGCCGUCCCUAGAGCAAAACUGAGAAUGCUCAAGGGAUACUAAAAUGCGGACUAGAUGAAUGCAAAGGCUAUAAAAAAAAAAAAAGAAAAAUAUGCUAUAACUGGGAGUGGUUAACGUCAUGGCCCAGUGGUUAACGAAUCUGACUAGGAACCAUGAGGUUGUGGGUUCGAUCCCUGGCCUUGCUCAUGGCAUAAUAUUUUACACUACGGAUCUACCAUAAUUUAUUGCAUCAUUUCCUAACUUGACACUUGGGUUGUUUUCCCUUAAGGGGGCUGAAGUUGUGUAAGGAAUUUAUCUCCCUGAACUUCUUCCCCAAAGAAGCAUUUGGAUUUACUCUUUUCUAUCAUGUCAGUAACUUUUUUUUUUUUUUGGUGUUUUUAAAAAUGGAAUAUACUUAAAUUUUAUUUAUUAAAGUCUAGUUGAUUUACGGUGUUGUGUCAAUUUCUGCUGUCCAGCAAAGCGAUCCAGUCAUACACAUAUAGACAUUCUUUUUCUUGCAUUAUUGCCCAUCAUGGUCUAUGCCAGGAGAUUGAAUAUAGUUCCCUGUGCCGCAUAGUAGGACCUCAUUGCUUAUCCAUUCUAAAUGCAGUAGUUUCCAUUCACUAACCCCAAACUCCCAGUCUACCCCCCUCCCUGCCUUAGCAACCAAAAGUCUGCUCUCCACAGGCAUUUGAAUUUAAUUGUGCCGCAGCCUUCUGACUCAGUGGCUUACCCGCAAAUGUGCCCUGAACUUUUUCCAGUUUAUUGGUCAGAACAGGCACAAAAUGUUCUUUUUCUUAGGGCACCUGACCUGUCCAAAAGCUGCCCAACCCAGUCUUCCCUUGAUGGGUACGUCCUGCCCCCAGACCUCUCCAUGCCAACGUUGGCGCUUGAGUCUUUGCUUCUUUAACCCCACGGGGCCUGGCCUCGGCUGCCCCUCCAGGCCUGCCCUUGACCUCCCUCGCCUGCACACAGAGGGCCUGGGCCUGGCCUUUGCACCUGC
rnacentral:lncRNA from 1 species